AUUGAACGCUGGCGGCAGGCCUAACACAUGCAAGUCGAGCGGAUGAAGGGAGCUUGCUCCUGGAUUCAGCGGCGGACGGGUGAGUAAUGCCUAGGAAUCUGCCUGGUAGUGGGGGAUAACGUCCGGAAACGGGCGCUAAUACCGCAUACGUCCUGAGGGAGAAAGUGGGGGAUCUUCGGACCUCACGCUAUCAGAUGAGCCUAGGUCGGAUUAGCUAGUUGGUGGGGUAAAGGCCUACCAAGGCGACGAUCCGUAACUGGUCUGAGAGGAUGAUCAGUCACACUGGAACUGAGACACGGUCCAGACUCCUACGGGAGGCAGCGGCGGGGAAUAUUGGACAAUGGGCGAAAGCCUGAUCCAGCCAUGCCGCGUGUGUGAAGAAGGUCUUCGGAUUGUAAAGCACUUUAAGUUGGGAGGAAGGGCAGUAAGUUAAUACCUUGCUGUUUUGACGUUACCAACAGAAUAAGCACCGGCUAACUUCGUG
rnacentral:rRNA from 1 species